rnacentral:rRNA from 1 species
UGGGGAAUCAUGGUCAAUGGGCGAAAGCCUGAACCUGCGACGCCGCGUGAGUGAUGAAGGUCGUAAGAUCGUAAAAUUCUUUUCAGGGAUCUUAAAGCACAACCGUCAACAACGGCUGUGUGUGACUCUCCCUGGAGGAAGCCCCAGCCAACUACGUGCCAGCAGCUGCGGUAAUACGUAGGGGGCGAGCGUUAUUCGGAAUUACUGGGUGUAAAGGGUAUGUAGUCGGCCCUUCAAGUCGCGUGUCAAAGUCCAGUACUCAACGCUGGGUGUGCGCGCGAUACUGACGGGAUUGAGGGCUGGAGAGGUGAGCGGAAUUCCCGGUGUAGUGGUAAAAUACGUAGAGAUCGGGAGGAACACCAGCGGCGCAGGCGGCUCACUAGACAGUGUCUGACGCUAAGAUACGAAAGCGUGGGGAGCAAACA